AUUGAACGCUGGCGGCAUGCUUUACACAUGCCAGUCGAACGGUAACAGGCCUUCGGGUGCUGACGAGUGGCGAGCGGGUGAGUAAUGCAUCGGAACGUGCCCAGAGGUGGGGGAUAACGCAGCGAAAGCUGUGCUAAUACCGCAUGUGAUCUGAGGAUGAAAGCGGGGGACCAAGCAGCAAUGUUUGGCCUCGCGCCUCUGGAGCGGCCGAUGUCAGAUUAGGUAGUUGGUGGGGUAAAGGCCUACCAAGCCGACGAUCUGUAGCUGGUCUGAGAGGACGACCAGCCACACUGGGACUGAGACACGGCCCAGACUCCUACGGGAGGCAGCAGUGGGGAAUUUUGGACAAUGGGCGCAAGCCUGAUCCAGCAAUGCCGCGUGCGGGAAGAAGGCCUUCGGGUUGUAAACCGCUUUUGUACGGAACGAAAAGGCUCUGGCUAAUACCUGGGGCUGAUGACGGUACCGUAAGAAUAAGCACCGGCUAACUACGUG
rnacentral:rRNA from 1 species